UACGUAGGGUGCAAGCGUUAAUCGGAAUUACUGGGCGUAAAGCGUGCGCAGGCGGCCAUGCAAGACAGAUGUGAAAUUCCCGGGCUCAACCUGGGAACUGCAUUUGUGACUGCAUGGCUAGAGUACGGUAGAGGGGGAUGGAAUUCCGCGUGUAGCAGUGAAAUGCGUAGAUAUGCGGAGGAACACCGAUGGCGAAGGCAAUCCCCUGGACCUGUACUGACGCUCAUGCACGAAAGCGUGGGGAGCAAACAGG
rnacentral:rRNA from 1 species